AGAGUUUGAUCAUGGCUCAGAACGAACGCUGGCGGCAGGCUAACACAUGCAAGUCGAGGGAGAAGCUGACUUCGGUCAGUGGGCACCGGCGCACGGGUGAGUAACGCGUGGGAACCUACCCAGGGGUGGGGGAUAACCGCUGGAAACGGCGGCUAAUACCGCAUACGCCUUUUUGAGGGAAAGAUUUAUCGCCCUUGGAUGGGCCCGCGUUGGAUUAGGUAGUUGGUGGGGUAAAGGCCUACCAAGCCUACGAUCUAUAGCUGGUCUGAGAGGAUGAUCAGCCACACUGGGACUGGGACACGGCCCAGACUCCUACGGGAGGCAGCAGUGGGGAAUCUUGGACAAUGGGGGCAACCCUGAUCCAGCCAUGCCGCGUGAGUGAAGAAGGCCUUAGGGUUGUAAAGCUCUUUCAACGGUGAAGAUGAUGACUGUAGCCGUAGAAGAAGCCCCGGCUAACUCCGUGCCAGCAGCCGCGGUAAUACGGAGGGGGCAAGCGUUGUUCGGAAUUACUGGGCGUAAAGGGCGUGUAGGCGGCCAAACAAGUCAGAGGUGAAAGCCCUGGGCUCAACCUGGGAACUGCCUUUGAAACUGUUUGGCUUGAGACCGGAAGAGGAUGGCGGAAUUCCCAGUGUAGAGGUGAAAUUCGUAGAUAUUGGGAAGAACACCGGUGGCGAAGGCGGCCAUCUGGUCCGGUUCUGACGCUGAGGCGCGAAAGCGUGGGGAGCAAACAGGAUUAGAUACCCUGGUAGUCCACGCCGUAAACGAUGUGCGCUAGCCGUCGGGGAACAUAGUUUCUCGGUGGCGCAGCUAACGCGAUAAGCGCACCGCCUGGGGAGUACGGCCGCAAGGUUAAAACUCAAAGGAAUUGACGG
rnacentral:rRNA from 1 species